rnacentral:lncRNA from 1 species
GGUUUCGGUAUGUAUGUUUUGUAGCCGGCAACGCAGUGUCAGCCGUGAGGCCCUGCGACCGAGGAUGGUUUUGUAGUUUUUGGAACUCGUAUAAUGUUGUAAUCUCAAAUCUCGUAAUUUUGUUAUAAGGACUUUAGCCUGUCUAUUCUUCCCAUAAAUUAAGCAAUUUGCCUGCUAUACUAUUUAAAAAUAAUUUAGUAGCUCGCCUCAUUAAUAUUCAGAACAUGCAUGCACGAACUACGCAUGUGCCGUUCAGACAACCCAAUUUGUCUUAAAUAUACAGUAAACUCUUGAUCGCGAAUUCUGAUCAUGCAUGAAGAAUAAUCUAUAUUGUCCAAUAAUGUGAACAUCAGUGGCGAAGCCAGCCCGACAAUUUGGUCAUGCAAUGAAUCAUAUUUCCCUGAUGAUGGCUCUGACAUAGAUUUGAAACACUGUGACAUUGUCAUAACACCAAAAAUUAAAUUAACAAGACGCUCUGCGGAGCGUUAACUCGCUGGGGCUAUACUAGACUUGGUUAGGGCCUGAACUUCAGGUUA